rnacentral:lncRNA from 1 species
AUGCCUCUUGGAGCUGCAGCGAAAACCACACCUAUUUACAGUGGAUUCCCCAGGGCCCUCCUGUGGGGUAUUAACCCUCCAAAUGCUUCCUUCGGCGCGGCAAAUCCCCCACCUGGUUUUCCUGGGGAAACCAGCGCUCCUGCUGCCGCAGAGACCUCCUCUGUUUGCGGCCCAGGGCAUUGGCUCCUCCGCUGCCUAGAGCAGGUCCCCGCUUUUCCUUCCCUCCCCAUCUGUGUGGCUAUCUCCGUCCUUCGGCCAGCUGUGUGCUGGGGCUCUUUCUGCCCAGAAAGCAGGGCUGCCUCUGCUGCAUUGUGUUUUUCUCAGACCCCACCAAGUUUCCCUGAGAUACCAGCUCAUCCCUCCCCCUCGAACUACCCUUUGCGCUCUUCAGCCCUCUUCCCGGUCUCACUGUUUGCUUUCCCUCUUUUCCCUGGUUUCGGAGUUUUCUGGGAAGGAAUCCCGUGCCCCGGCCUCCCCAGUGUUGUGUUGUUGUUUUUCCCUCAGUCGCUAUGGGCAGGGACCUCGAGCCCGAGCCAAGGAAGGGAGGGAAGAAGGGAGGCAGAGAGAGAAGGAGGGAGCACAGGGGGAGGGACGGAGGAAGCCAGGAAAGCCAGAAGGCAAAGUGUGCAGGGGAGCAGGGUGAGGAAGGCACGGGGAAGGAAUGCAAUGGGGAAGGAGGACAGAGGGCCUUGUGCAAAGAAGGAGUUUGGGGGACAUAUCCAGGAGAGGUUUUUCAUUGGUUCUUUUAUUAAUAACGCUGCUGCAGCGGACAGCAAUCUCCCGAGGAAGGCAAGGAACCCCCCGUCUGCCUGGGAUGCGAGGCACAGAGGUUAUUCAAGGCAAAGAGACAUCCUUCAGAAAAUGAACAUCCAAGCCCAGGGCAGCCAGCGGGAGCACAGACUGCAGCAGGGAAAAUGCAGGAUGGGAAUUUGGUGGGUAAGGAGAGAACGUGAAGCAAAAAGACCCAGGAAAAAAAUAUAUAGGACCUUAUAUAAGUCCGUUGGAAGUGAGAAGCCUGGAAGAGGUCUGACAGACUUUCUGCGAACAGGGAAGAAAGUAGAGCAGCUGAGGGAAGUAAGGACACUGCAGAGAAGCUAA